GCUACUACCGAUUGAAUGGCUUAGUGAGGUCUUGGGAUUGGCUUCGGGAAGCCGGCAACGGCAUCCUGUCGCUGAGAACUUGAUCAAACUUGGUCAUUUAGAGGAAGUAAAAGUCGUAACAAGGUUUCCGUAGGUGAACCUGCGGAAGGAUCAUUAUCGAGUUUUGACUGGGUUGUAGCUGGCCUUCCGAGGCAUGUGCACGCCCUGCUCAUCCACUCUACACCUGUGCACUUACUGUGGGUUUUACGGGUCGUGAAAUGGGCUCGUUCAUUCGGGCUUGUUGAGCGCACUUGUUGCCUGCGUUUAUCACAAACUCCAUAAAGUAUUAGAAUGUGUAUUGCGAUGUAACGCAUCUAUAUACAACUUUCAGCAACGGAUCUCUUGGCUCUCGCAUCGAUGAAGAACGCAGCGAAAUGCGAUAAGUAAUGUGAAUUGCAGAAUUCAGUGAAUCAUCGAAUCUUUGAACGCACCUUGCGCUCCUUGGUAUUCCGAGGAGCAUGCCUGUUUGAGUGUCAUGAAAUCUUCAAUCUACAAGCUUCUUAUGGGAGUUUGUAGGCUUGGACUUGGAGGCUUGUCGGUCCUUUACAGGUCGGCUCCUCUCAAAUGCAUUAGCUUGGUUCCUUGCGGAUCGGCUUGUCGGUGUGAUAAUGUCUACGCCGCGACCGUGAAGCGUGUUUGGGCGAGCUUCUAACCGUCUCGUUACGGAGACAACUUUAUGACCUCUGACCUCAAAUCAGGUAGGACUACCCGCUGAACUGUAAGCAUAUCAAUA
rnacentral:rRNA from 1 species